rnacentral:lncRNA from 1 species
UUCUUCUUUCUUCUUCUUCUUCUUCUCUUUUUCUUUCUUUCUUUCCUCUGUUUCACGCCUGAGAACCCCCUCUCUGUGACUCUCUCUCGGUUUCAUUCCCGUGAGCCACCAACCACCCCAUUUAAAUCACAUCAAAGCACUAUUCACCUUUGUUUAAUAUUAUUAAAUUCCCAUUUUGCCCCUAACACUUCAACAUAUCUACAACUAUGCCAUUAUCUUUUGAUUCCUUCCAAUUUUACCCCUUAUAUCAAUUUUAAAGGACUAUUCUAUCCCUUUUUUAUAUAAAAAAAUAUUUUGGGGUUAUUACACAUAUGUUUGCUUAUGUUUAGGCAAUCUCUUGAGUAAAGUGACUCAACAUUCAAUUAUUAUCAUAUCUUAGGUUGAGUUACCUAGUUAAGAAAUAUGCUAUAUGAAUGCUUUGUAUCUUAAAGAAACUAAUGACCUUCCUUCAAGAAAGAAAAAUGAGAAAUUUCAACUUGAAGGAUAUCUUCAUGUAAGAUACACUAAAGAUUCACAUGCAAACAAGAGAGAGGAUCUUCUUCAGCCAAAAGUUCACUCAUAAGAAAUCUAGUUUGGCUUGAAGAACAUAUAAUGAAUAGGUA